rnacentral:snRNA from 1 species
AAAGAUUAGCAUGGCCCCUGCGCAAGGAUAACUCCAAUUGUUGUAAUAAACACUUGUUAUUU